AGGUGCAGCUGGUGGAGUCCGGGGGAGGCUUAGUUCAGCCUGGGGGGUCCCUGAGACUCUCCUGUGCAGCCUCUGGAUUCACCUUCAGUAGCUACUGGAUGCACUGGGUCCGCCAAGCUCCAGGGAAGGGGCUGGUGUGGGUCUCACGUAUUAAUAGUGAUGGGAGUAGCACAAGCUACGCGGACUCCGUGAAGGGCCGAUUCACCAUCUCCAGAGACAACGCCAAGAACACGCUGUAUCUGCAAAUGAACAGUCUGAGAGCCGAGGACACGGCUGUGUAUUACUGUGCAAGAGAUACGAGGGGUACUGGGGCCAGGGAACCCUGGUCACCGUCUCCUCA
rnacentral:lncRNA from 1 species